rnacentral:rRNA from 1 species
UAUUUAUUAGAUUAAAAGCCAACGCCCUUCGGGGCUUCGUGGUGAUUCAUGAUAACUUUUCGAAUCGCAUGGCCUUGCGCCGGCGAUGGUUCAUUCAAAUUUCUUCCCUAUCAACUUUCGAUGCGAAGGUCUUGUCUUCGCAUGGUUGCAACGGGUAACGGAGGGUUAGGGCUCGACCCCGGAGAAGGAGCNUGAGAAACGGCUACUACAUCCAAGGAAGGCAGCAGGCGCGCAAAUUACCCAAUCCCGACACGGGGAGGUAGUGACAAUAAAUACUGAUACAGGGCUCUUUUGGGUCUUGUAAUCGGAAUGAGUACAAUUUAAAUCCCUUAACGAGGAACAAUUGGAGGGCAAGUCUGGUGCCAGCAGCCGCGGUAAUUCCAGCUCCAAUAGCGUAUAUUAAAGUUGUUGUGGUUAAAAAGCUCGUAGUUGAACCUUGGGCCUGGCUGGCCGGUCCCCCUCACCGGGUGCACUGAUCCAGCCGGGCCUUUCCCUCUGUGGAACCCCAUGGCCUUCACUGGCCGUGGCGGGGAAACAGGACUUUUACUUUGAAAAAAUUAGAGUGCUCCAGGCAGGCCUAUGCUCGAAUACAUUAGCAUGGAAUAAUAGAAUAGGACGUGUGGUUCUAUUUUGUUGGUUUCUAGGACCGCCGUAAUGAUUAAUAGGGACAGUCGGGGGCAUCAGUAUUCAAUUGUCAGAGGUGAAAUUCUUGGAUCUAUUGAAGACUAACUACUGCGAAAGCAUUUGCCAAGGAUGUUUUCAUUGAUAAGGAACGAAAGUUAGGGGAUCGAAGACGAUCAGAUACCGUCGUAGUCUUAACUAUAAACUAUGCCGACUAGGGAUCGGACGAUGUUAUUUCUUGACGCGUUCGGCACCUUUCGAGAAAUCAAAGUGCUUGGGCUCCAGGGGGAGUAUGGUCGCAAGGCUGAAACUUAAAGAAAUUGACGGAAGGGCACCACCAGGGGUGGAACCUGCGGCUUAAUUUGACUCAACACGGGGAAACUCACCAGGUCCAGACACAGUGAGGAUUGACAGAUUGAGAGCUCUUUCUUGAUUCUGUGGGUGGUGGUGCAUGGCCGUUCUUAGUUGGUGGAGUGAUUUGUCUGCUUAAUUGCGAUAACGAACGAGACCUUAACCUGCUAAAUAGCCCGUACUGCUUUGGCAGUUCGCCGGCUUCUUAGAGGGACUAUCGGCUCAAGCCGAUGGAAGUUUGAGGCAAUAACAGGUCUGUGAUGCCCUUAGAUGUCCUGGGCCGCACGCGCGUUACACUGACAGAGCCAGCGAGUAUUUCCUUGGCCGGAAGGCCCGGGUAAUCUUGUUAAACUCUGUCGUGCUGGGGAUAGAGCAUGGCAAUU